UACGAGGGGAGCUAGCGUUGUUCGGAAUUACUGGGCGUAAAGGGCGUGUAGGCGGUACCAUAAGUCAGAUGUGAAAGCCCUAGGCUUAACCUAGGAGGUGCAUUUGAUACUGUGGAACUAGAGAUCGAGAGAGGAAAGUGGAAUUACGAGUGUAGAGGUGAAAUUCGUAGAUAUCGGGAGGAACACCUGUGGCGAAGGCGGUCACCUGGACGAAAACUGACGCUGAGGCACGAAAGCGUGGGGAGCAAACAGG
rnacentral:rRNA from 1 species